GACGCACGCUGGCGGCGUGCUUAACACAUGCAAGUCGACAUGAGUGGCGAACGGGUGAGUAAUACGUGGGUAACCUGCCCUCCUUUUUAGGAUAAGCAUGGGCUACGGGGUCUAAUACCGCAUCAAGGGGGAUGGGCUCGGGGCCUAUCAGCGUGUUGGUGGGGUGAUGGGCUACCAAGGCGGUGACGGGUCGCCGGCCUGAGAGGGUGAACGGCAACAUUGGGACUGCGAUACGGCCCAGAGUGCUCAGGGAGGGAGCAGUGGGGGAUAGUGCACAAUGGGCGAAAGACUGAUGCAGCGACGCCGCGUGGGGGAUGAAGGCUUUCGGGUUGUAAAACUCUUUCGGUAUCGAACGGGUAGGUGGAGAAGAAGCGCCGGCUAACUACGUGCCAGCAGCCGCGGUAAUUC
rnacentral:rRNA from 1 species